rnacentral:snoRNA from 2 species
UGGUCAAUGAUGACAUGACCACCGCACAAUCUGAGUUCUAGGAACCAGGUGAUGGAGUGUGUGCUGAGAGCUGACUGUGAGACUU